AAAACUUUCAACAACGGAUCUCUUGGCUCUCGCAUCGAUGAAGAACGCAGCGAAAUGUGAUAAGUAAUGUGAAUUGCAGAAUUCAGUGAAUCAUCGAAUCUUUGAACGCACCUUGCGCUCGCUGGUAUUCCGGCGAGCAUGCCUGUUUGAGUGUCAUGAACUCUUCAACCCUCCAGUUCCUUGUUGAACUAUGAGGUGUUUGG
rnacentral:rRNA from 1 species